AUGAAAGUCUUGAGUUGGAAUUGUCGCAGGCUUGGGAACGCCGCGGCAGUUCGAGCUCUACUGGAUGUCCAACGAGCAUGCAACCCUAAGGUGAUGUUUUUGUCAGAGACACAUCUUGAAAGUUAUCCAUCGGAGUGUUUGAGGAAAAUAUUGCACAUGGACCAAAAGUUUGUGUGCCCUGGAGAUGGUAGAAAGGGAGGACUGAUCUUGUUUUGGAAAAAGCAAAUCAAAGUGCAGCGUCUGAACCUAGAUCCGAUGUAUAUAGACGUGACAGUGGAAGACUCAAAUAGCUUGGUGUGGAGACUUACGGGCAUGUAUGGUGAAUUUAGAUGGGAAACAAGUACAAAACCUGGGAUCGCAUGCGCCAUCUCCAUCAUGCUCACAAUCUUCCCUGGUUGCUGA
rnacentral:rRNA from 1 species